UGCAGUCGACGAUGAAGCUGGUGCUUGCACUGGUGGAUUAGUGGCGAACGGGUGAGUAUCACGUGAGUAACCUUCCCUUGACUCUGGGAUAAGCCUGGGAAACUGGGUCUAAUACCGGAUAUGACCGGCCUCCGCAUGGGGUGCUGGUGGAAAGCUUUUGCGGUUUUGGAUGGACUCGCGGCCUAUCAGUUUGUUGGUGAGGUAAUGGCUCACCAAGGCGAUGACGGGUAGCCGGCCUGAGAGGGUGACCGGCCACACUGGGACUGAGACACGGCCCAGACUCCUACGGGAGGCAGCAGUGGGGAAUAUUGCACAAUGGGCGCAAGCCUGAUGCAGCGACGCCGCGUGCGGGAUGACGGCCUUCGGGUUGUAAACCGCUUUCAGCAAGGAAGAAGCUUUAUUGUGACGGUACUUGCAGAAGAAGCGCCGGCUAACUACGUGCCAGCAGCCGCGGUAAUACGUAGGGCGCGAGCGUUAUCCGGAAUUAUUGGGCGUAAAGAGCUCGUAGGCGGUUUGCCACGUCUGCUGUGAAAGCCCGGGGCUCAACCUCGGGUGUGCAGUGGGUACGGGUAGGCUGGAGUGCAGUAGGGGAGACUGGAAUUCCUGGUGUAGCGGUGAAAUGCGCAGAUAUCAGGAGGAACACCGAUGGCGAAGGCAGGUCUCUGGGCUGUUACUGACGCUGAGGAGCGAAAGCAUGGGGAGCGAACAGGAUUAGAUACCCUGGUAGUCCAUGCCGUAAACGUUGGGCACUAGGUGUGGGGGACAUUCCACGUUUUCCGCGCCGUAGCUAACGCAUUAAGUGCCCCGCCUGGGGAGUACGGCCGCAAGGCUAAAACUCAAAGGAAUUGACGGGGGCCCGCACAAGCGGCGGAGCAUGCGGAUUAAUUCGAUGCAACGCGAAGAACCUUACCAAGGCUUGACAUGGACCGGAUCGCUGCAGAGAUGUAGUUUCCCUUCGGGGCUGGUUCACAGGUGGUGCAUGGGUUGUCGUCAGCUCGUGUCGUGAGAUGUUGGGGUUAAGUCCCGCAACGAGCGCAACCCCUUAU
rnacentral:rRNA from 1 species